rnacentral:snoRNA from 1 species
UCUGUGAUGUUUUCAAACCUUAUUACCUACAUUAUUUGAACGAGACCAUGUAAACAAAACAAAACUGAG